rnacentral:lncRNA from 1 species
CUGAGAUCAAGAGUCACAUGCUCUACUGACUGAGCCAGCCAGGUGCCCCAGGACUAACUUAAUUCUUACACAAUCCAUGAGCUCUCCUCAGACACUCCCCAAGCAGGAAGUUCAACCAGCCCAGGAAGGUGGAAUCCUCAGCUCAGUCUCCUGACAGGAGGUGUUUAUGGCUCCAGCACCCUUGUUCUGGCUGGAAGCUGUUGGUAGAACAUAUCCUCCAUGAAUGAAGAGGAGUUACCUCCAAAGGACCAGGAACUUCAGCAAACUUCUAUAAAGAAGGGAGAAGGCAGUUUAGAGAGAAGCAGACCAUUUGUAAAUAGUAUUUCUGUCUACUUGAAAGCCUUUCAUAAGUGUCAAAUCAAGACCGAAGUCUUCUUCACUAGUAGUCUCCCAAUAAACAUCCACAGAAAAAGACAGAAAUGGUGUAACACAGCAAGCCUUCAUCUAGAGGAGCAGCGUGAAUCAGGUGGUCACUGAGAGGUUGCUUCAAGAUCUGGGAUCAACACCAGGAGAGAAGAGGUUUGUCUAUCAAGCUUGCAGUGUAUUGCACUUACUGUAAUGGCAUGCACAAAUCCCAAUUUAUGCUUCUAAUGGUGGGGGCUUUACCCAUUCAUAUUUAAUCAGACCUAAAAGUGGCU